CAAAAACCAUAAAACAAAUGCAAAUUCUUUUUUUUGAAAAAUUAUAAAAUAAAAAUUGCGGGCUAGAAAAUAAAUCACCACAACAAUUGAAUGAGUAGUGUUGUCUGAGGACUUGUCCAACCUAACCCACAUGCCUAACCGAUCGGACCCAAGUUGACCACCACUUGAUCUACUGUUUGUGGUAUUUGAUGCUGUGUCAAGUAGUGGGUUUACUCCUCCAAAACUCGAUCGCACCCAAUUUGAUCAACGAAACUGGCAAAAUUUGGUGAAAUCUAUCAAAUUUGACAAGAUCUCUCUAGAUUUUGGUUGUUUUUUUUGCUUCUCUAGUAUGAUUGAUUCGCCCACCACCCAUAGAAGGCUUAUCUAGUGCUCCUCUCUGGUUAAGGACAGGUCGACUUCUUCCUCACCAGAUUUGGUCAUGUUGGGUGCGGUUUAAGCACAAACUCGACCUAGACCAAUAAGUGGACACCCUUAAACAUGCGUAAUUGUUUUUGGAAAAAAAACACGUGGCGGAAGACUAUUUGUAGAGGAAUGAACUGGAGAAUCAGGCGUACAGACUACAAAGAAGAGAAUUUUAAUUUUUGAGAGAGGCCGGAACUAAAAAAAAAAUUAAAUCCCGUUAAAUGGGGAGUUAUGGAAUCUGAGCCCUGGCCCCCCCUUUGGUAUAAAACUAAAACCAAACGCUACCCACAUACCACACCACACCCUUCAAACCAAAGAAACACAAAAAUAAGAAACAACAAUUGCUCUCCUCUCUCUUACCCUGCCUCACAGAAACAGAGUCUGAGACAAAGGAAAAAAGCAAGUGGUCGAGAUCCGGCGAGCUGCUUCGUCGGGUUUCGCCCAUUUUCAACGUCGGAGCUCCGACAGUUUGUUCAUAGCAGUGUCACUGUGCGCAUAAAAACAGCAACAGCAAAAGCAAAAGCAAAAUGAAGGGUUCCUGCACUCUCGUGGCAUCAGUACUCGCCGCAUCCACCGUGGCUCUUGGCUCCUCAUCUUCCACUGCGGGAGAUCGUGACCAUUCAUUUCAUCCUUGCUCCAACGAGGGUCUCUCUUCGCCAACUUCGAAAUCUUAUGCCAAAAACUCGCAUACGACGGCGGAAAAGGAGAAAUUUGCGCCAAGAUUCGAUGGCCUAAGGUUCAUUGAGACCUUGGUCACAGCCCACAGGUGACCUCAAAGCCUCAAAGACCCUCCCUUUUUUGUCUCCGAUUUUUGCUGCGAAAGGUUCUGCAAUAUGUGAUUGGAAGAGCAAUUUUAAUUUUUAAUUUUUAAUUUUACCCCCAUUCUCCAUGUGAGUUUGUGUUUUUCUUUUUCCUUUUUCGGUUAAUUGAUGGUGUAAUGCGGUUGAACUCUAAAAGCGUGACAGCCACUGUAUUUGUCAAUGUCCUCUUGUUUUGUUCGAAUUUUAUGUGGCCUGGACCUGCUGUAUCUUACUAAUUUAGCCUCCAAAAAUGUUUUUUAUUAUUAUAUGAGCAAGAGCAAUGUACAUGUGCAAUGGCCUGAAUUGGUUCUA